GAUGAACGCUGGCGGCGUGCCUAAUACAUGCAAGUCGAGCGAACGGACGAGAAGCUUGCUUCUCUGAUGUUAGCGGCGGACGGGUGAGUAACACGUGGAUAACCUACCUAUAAGACUGGGAUAACUUCGGGAAACCGGAGCUAAUACCGGAUAAUAUUUUGAACCGCAUGGUUCAAAAGUGAAAGAUGGUCUUGCUGUCACUUAUAGAUGGAUCCGCGCUGCAUUAGCUAGUUGGUAAGGUAACGGCUUACCAAGGCAACGAUGCAUAGCCGACCUGAGAGGGUGAUCGGCCACACUGGAACUGAGACACGGUCCAGACUCCUACGGUAGGCAGCAGUAGGGAAUCUUCCGCAAUGGGCGAAAGCCUGACGGAGCAACGCCGCGUGAGUGAUGAAGGUCUUCGGAUCGUAAAACUCUGUUAUUAGGGAAGAACAUAUGUGUAAGUAACUGUGCACAUCUUGACGGUACCUAAUCAGAAAGCCACGGCUAACUACGUG
rnacentral:rRNA from 1 species